UGUUACUGUCUGAAAUUGUCGAGAAGCUUCGUUAUCCAUUUCCAGAUUUUUGUUUCUCUCUACCUCCAUUCACGAUGAAGAAUACAUCAAACUUCUCUCUAAAAAUCUGGCUAGAUUUUUUGCUUAAUCUUGCGAUUCUGAGUGUCUAAUGGGCAUAACUGUUCAAAAAUAUUUGAUUUUAGAACAGAUCUUUGAAUCUGAUGUUUGCUGUUUACACUACUUAGCUAGGUUUCAUUCUUGAAGUUUUGUUUUCGAGAUUCACCGUUCGCCAAAACCGAAACCAAAACCGUCUCUAGGGAGUUCGCAUCAUCCAAUUCCGGCAUAAGCUUGCGCGAUUGAAUCCAGUCGCACUCAAUUUAGGUGUAUGUUGGGAUAUCGCUAAUUUUAUCACCGAUUUGCUUAAGAUGAGUUCUUUCAUUUGUAAUUUUGGCCAUCUGUUUAUAUAUUCAUGAAAUCUGGAGCAUGUUUGGAUAACUCUAAUUCCUCACAGCUUGAUUCAUGCUAGAGACAAAACUAUAUUGGUUACGGGCUAAAAAUUAAACCCUAGUUCGUCGGCGAUGUUGGAUUUGUCGGCCAUGUUCGCAUUCAGCUCAUCAUAAACAUGAAGUAUUACCAUGUUCGCGAUGUUGAUUUCAAAACCUAAUUCCAGAAAACCCUAUGAGAUAAGUGAUUCUGGUCUAUCUAUUUCUACUUACUUAUUUCGAUUUGAUUGACUAUUUUGUUUUGCAUGUUAGUCAAAAUUAGAUUUCUGUAAAACCCUAUAUACAUACUUUCGCGAUUUUGUAUCAGAACAAAUGUACAGUAAAUUUCCGUUUGUAAAAUGAAGAAAUUACUAACAAUGUAUUUUUUUUUUUUGUUUUUCAGAGCAAAAAGAUGGAGGCUACAACAUUGGUAAAAUCAAUCUAAGCACUGCUACUAUAUAGAACACAUCAUAAAAAAAAGUGAAAGAGGAUGCAAAGCUUUACCAAAUCUGCAGCCCAGAUUUUGCAGCAACAACUACUGCUUCCCCUAAGCACAUCCCCGUUCGUGAAGCUUCCCCUGCACAUCCUUCUUGAUGCUAUUCAUUCCAGCCUAUCUCCUCUAAAUACAUGAACAUCUUCGUCCAGACUUUGCGCUUCAACCCCUCCGUAUCUAUCUCCAAUUGGCUGUGAUAUAAGACUUAUUUAUAAUGUUGAAGUAGGUAUAGAUUUAAUAUAACAGAUUUUGAAUUUGAAAUUUAUCUCCAAACAAUUAAUGUUAGUCUAGUAGAUUGUAAUAGUCUUAUUGGAAUUUGUAAGCAUGCUUUGUUUGUUGCAAUAAUCUGAACACAAUAAAUACAUUCAAUAGAGCUAGAGAUAUAUAUUUAUUAUUCUGA